AAGGCCAAAAACAAGGGUGUACAAUGGAAAGAAUAGGCAUGUGCGACGAUUCUGCCCUGACACGGUGCUUAUCCAAAUUUUAUGGACAACAAGAACCACACCACUCUACAUUCUGCGUCCUUUGAGGAGAAUGUCUCAAUAGAGAAGCUGUUUUUUACACAAAGCAAAUUCAGACCCAAAAAACAAGUGCUGACAGGCUGCACAAUGGAAAGACAGGCAUGUGCAACUGUUCCGCACUGACACGGUGCUGAGACGAGUCUUCAGGACAACAAGAGCAACAUCGCUCACCGUUAUGCGGCCUUUGAGUAGAAUGUGUCAAUAGAGAAUCUGUUUUUAUACUAAGGAAAUACAGAGGCCAAAAACAAGGUAAUAUCAACUUUUUUUUUUUUUACAAGUAGUUGAGAUUAUAAAUUUCAUAGAUAGAUACCUAAGGUUUUAUUCUAUAUAUAUAUAUAUAUAUAUAUAUAUAUAUAUGCAUAUUUAUGAACACAUCGACACCAACUUUUAUACAUCAGGUCCUGUCAUCAUGAAACAACUCCAAAACCAAGGCAGGGGAGGGAAAGAGAAAAGUAAUGCAUAUAGAAAUCCAACAAUCUGUCCGCUAGCUGCCCUUCCACCCCAGAACGAAAAUCCCAUUCGUGCCGGGCAUUACUUGGUGCGUUCAGGGCCCACAAAGAAUUGAAGGCCUAGAGGGGAGUGUGGAUGAUGAUGGCGGAAUGCUGUGCAGGGUUUAGAAAUGGAUGCUUCUGGGGAGUAGUAGGAGACUGUGACCCAGAGGAGUUAGAGUAGCUUGGGUAAGUGUAAAUGGGAGGAGAUAGCAUCAGGUUGUAAUAGGCCGUGGACGCUCUAGGCCCUAAGGUUCAGAAGAUGAGAGCAAGGGGAUCAGGUCGUGACAUCCUACAGGGGGUAUGGGGGUAUGUACUUGUGCUCGUAGCCACUCUGCCAGCCACGUACCAAGGUGAGGUCUCCCAUUCCGCGGAUUAGCUCCUGCUCAGCCUGUGUAGUUCCUUUUAUUACUAUUGUUUCAUAACCUCUAUAAACAACAGGGGGCUUGGACCCCUGGCCCUCGAGAUCGAGUCACAUGCUCUUCAGAGUGAGCCAGACAGGUGACCCGAGAAUAACUAUUUUUAUGCCCAUAUUUGUGGAUGAAAAACAGAAUAAUACUAUCCGAUGAAUAAAAACAACAUCAACUCUGGUUGAUACAAGCUGUUUUCCAUGAGGUGUAGAUUAGCGAUUCUGAUAUUGCUUCAUGUGUACGCUGGAAUUGAAUGAGGAAAUGCAUGGUGACAAGCAGGCUUCUCACUGUUGGGAGUGGGAGGUGACAAGGGAAGGAGGCUAAAACAAUCCGUUUGUUAAUGACUUAGAGUUAGUGACAUCAGUAAGAAUUCAUCUUAAGCUCACUAUAGUUACAGCUGAUUGCGCAAAAAAGUGUUGACAAUGUGUAUUUUCUACAUGAGUUAGUGUAUAUAUAUAUGUAUUUCUUUGUCAGAUGAGAGGACAUACAAGAAAGAACACUCUGGUAGCAAUGUACAGACCAUCACCCAGAUCCUGGGAUCAAAUCUCACUGCGCAGUAAAAAGCAUGAGGGCGGGCAGCCCAGGUGGCUCAGCGGUUUAGCGCUGCCUUCAGUCCAGGGCGAUCGCGCCCUGGGCCAAAGGCAGGCGCCAAACCGCUGCGCCACCCAGGGAUCCCUGGAGGACAAUUUGAUAACAUCCAUUUAAUAUUUACAUCUUUUCUUCCAAAAUAUUACAAAAGGGGCAAAGCUGGGGCUUUCAUCAACAGAAUUAUGAUUCUAUAGUUCAUUGAGCUGUGAUAUGAUGGAAGAGGAUGCCUUAGUUUAGAAGAAUGACAGAGAUACAGAUGUAUGUAUAGAAAGGUUAUCUAGACAGACAGACACACACACACCAUGGAAAUACAGCUCUGACACAUUACAUGGUCUAGAAAGAAAGUUAUAGAACAAUCCACAGAGUAGGACAGAAUCUGAUUAAAAAGGAAACAAAAAGACAUAGAUUUCUGUAUGUCCAUCCCUAUAUAUUUAUUCAUAUCCAUCUAGAAGUGCUCGAUGCAUUAAACAAUAUGUUUACGCACAUCCCUAUAUAGGUGUUUAAUGCACAGAACAUUCUUGAAGGAUACUUGUCAAACGGUGAAAGAAAUGAGAUUGGGGGCAGGGGAAAAACGGGUAAAGAAUUCUUUUCCUUUUUUUAUCUAUGCAUCUUUGACAAUGUAUUACUUGUGUAAUUAAACUUUUUUUUUUUCUCCUUAGUGAAAUAAGUAGAAAGGGGAAGAGGGAGAAAUGGUAUGUUUCACCCGGAAAGUAUUUGAAAGCAUUUUUGCUCCUGAGCACUAUGUGCGUCGGAGUGGCCGCUCUCCUGCUGCAUGAGGAGCAUGCUCUCUCGCUCUGUACUCUGGAGACGACAGUGCCAAGCAACAGUACCUGGGGUAGAAGAAUGACCCCUGACCUGUAAACUGCAGCUUGUCUGCAAGGAGCUACAGGGAACCAUGAGCAUCUCAUGUGUGCACCAUGCUUUUGGAACUUCCCUGAAUGCAGUGACUCUUGGAGCAGGACUCAACCCUGGUUGGGACAUACAGGUCAAAAAUAUCACCAAGCCAGGUGUGAGUCACACAGGCACUUUAGAUUUGCACCAAGUGAGCCAGCUAUGUGUGGAAGGUCCUUUUCAAAUCUGAGUAGCCUCAGCUGUUUCCAUGAUGACCCUUCCACUGCCCCAGAAACUAGAAGUACUCCAUUCUAAUCAUUCCUCGAGAUAGAUGUAAGCAAUAAUAUUUUGCACUCCAUUAAACUGGGGCAAAUAGCAUAGAACUUACUCAUUAUACAACUGUAGUUAAUUUCCCAAACCACUAUAGAAAGUUGAAUCAUUUAUUUUAUAUACUAGAACACAAUGUGGGACUAUAUAAAACCUAAAACGAAGAAAAUAUAUAUAUUUUUUUUCUGAAGGACUGGCUUCCAUGGUAAUGUCUUGAGGAAAAAAAAUAAGAUUUCUAUGUAUUUGAAAAUCAAAAUCACUUCUUACAGAAAACUAAUCCUCAGUGGAAACAGUGGAAAAAAAUCAUAAUUGAUGGAUAAAGAUGAGACAAAACCUACCAAAGAUAAGUUAUAGAUAUGCUUGAAAGAGCAAAGAAUGAGAUUUCCAAAUUUGUCAUUCAGCUUUGUUAAAAUCAUGGUGCUAGUCACUGCCCACACUGAGGACCUUCUCAGCUGCUUACACAUGGCACUGGGGAAGCCAGAUUCAGGACAGUCAAUGCAACACACCGAAUGUUAUUUUUAGUCACACACUAAGCUACUUCUUUUGAGGGGCCUUAAAAAUGCAAGGCAUAGCUCUUCAAGCCCACUCACAUUCUGUGUUGUUAGUUUCUCAAAGGGUCCAUGAAUUUACAUUUUUAAAAAGUACUGGUUCUCAGGCCUAUAAGUACAGAAAGCAAACUGAUGGUUGUCAGAGGGGAGGUGGGUGGGGGGCAUGGGCAGAAUGGGUGAAGGGGCAUGGGAGACACAGGCUCCUAGUUAUGUGAUGAAUAAUUCACGGGAGUCAAAGCCACAGCCUGAGGAAUCUAGGCAAUGAGGGCUCAGCAGUUGAGCAUCUGCCUUCAGUUCAGGUCACGAUCCUGGGGUCCUGGCAUCAAGCCCUGCAUCGGUUGUGCCCAAGAUUGCGAAUCCUAGAAACCACCAAGGAGCCGACACCGAUGCAAACACAUGAGGGUUUAUUUACAAGCUCGAGCUUGGGUCCAAGUGUCCCCGACACAGCGGAGCAGGGACUUGGACCCUGAGACUAAGAGGCGUAGCAGCUUUAUAGGGGCCAGUGGCCAAUGGGAUACACAGAAAGUUGCACAGUCCUGUCAGUCCACAUGCAGGUGGCCAAUUGAAUUACACCUUACCCUAUAGUAUCCAUUUGAGCUGGCCUAUUACUUUGGUCAGAAUUGGUGCGCAGUUUUGGCGGGCACAAAGCAGGGUUACAUUGUUAUGAGCCGAUUUCUGAUUAGGGUGUGCCCAGCGGCUUGACUAUGGUGGGGCAGCGCCUUAAGCAAUAAGCAGGUCAUGUGGGGGUGAUACAGGAGGUGGCAGGUGUAGCACAAAAUGGAGUUAGUCCUGCUCUGCUUGUCCAGGGGUAGGGGAUUUUUGUUAAAUUUCCUGGGUCCCACAAUUUCUUCCUUGCAGUAUAAGACUUUGUUUUUCACUUUCAGCUUGAAGAUUUCUUGCAAUAACCUGAACCUGGUCUUGGAGAUCAAUUCUAGUCUUUCUUUACACUGCACACUGCUGUAGGCAUCAUCUAGUUGCUCUUAGAGCCACAUAUUUUCACUUUGUAGUUGAGAUAAUCUCUCUUUUAUGGAUUUCUGCUUUCCAAUGUAUUUAUUCACUUUACCUUGCUCAUUUUGAUAUUUCUGUUCAAUUUCCUUUUUCUGACACUGUGUUUGUUUUAUGUUUCUUUGUACAUGUUUUAAAGCCCAAGUCUUUUCUCUGAGGGCAUCUCUUGUAUACUGGAGCUCAAUUUCCAGGGUAUUGAAUUUACUUUCAGCUUCAGAAAGUUGCUGAGAAAGCACCUCAUUGGUAUCUUUUAGGUUAGAACAUCAAAGUUCAUUUUGUCCUGUAAAUGACACCACUCAUCUUCUGCUCUCUGGAAAUCAAGUGCUAAGGUUUCUUUCUCAUGCCUGACUUUGAUCAUGAUCCUGUCUAGCAAUAGCCAGUCUAGCUCGGUAUGAUUGAAGUUUUGCUUCCAGUCUUUCUCUGUUUAGCUUUUCAUCCUGCAAUUUAGAGUUGAGCAUGGUAUUCUCAGUUGUCACAACAUUCAGCUGCCCAGUAGAUUGGAAUAGUGUAUUUGUUAAUGUUACCUCAUUCAGUUUUAUGGCGUUUUGAAGACUCAUUCUUUUCUUUUUCAAUUUCAGUGUCUUCACAAUAUUUCUUUUCCUUUUCGUGCUUCUGAUUCCUUAUUGUGUCUGUUUCCAGUCUUAGCAUGGCAAUUUCAUCUUGCAACAUGUGGUUUUUUUUUUUUUUUUUUUUUUUUAGAUUUUACUUAUUUAUUCAUGAGAGACACACACAGAGAGACAGAGAGGCAGAGACACAGGCAGAGGGAGAAGCAGGCUCCACGCAGGGAGCCCGACGCGGGACUCGAUCCCGGGACCCCAGGAUCAGGCCCUGGGCCAAAGGCAGCGCUAAACCGCUAAGCCACCCAGGCGCCCCCAACGUGGUUUUUAUGUAACAGACCUUUUUCUUUUUCAUGAGUAGGAGAAACCUAAGUAAAACAAGAGUCUUUUAGCUGGAACUCAAUAAAAUGACAUUAUCAUGAUUUUCUCUGAAAUUAAAGAAUAAUCUAUGUUUACACAAGGAAUAGGUUGUAGUUAAGCGGAAAAACAUAAAGGUGGAUCCAAGCCUCAAACUUUUAUACAAGCAUAAAUUCCCCAAAGUUCAAAAAUUUAAUUGAAGACAAUGCACGAAAGAAAAAUCAUGACAAAAUCCUAAGAAUCUCAGAAUUGGAAAGGUCCUUCUCUGAUUUACAACAAACCCAGAAAGCCUGAAAUAAAAGACUAAUACAUCUGACUACACUAAAAUUGAGUUUACAGUUUGAUAUCUAACGUAGUCCACAGGAAAAUCCUUAGCUCUGCAUAUAUUUGGACAGAUUCAAUUUCCUAACCUUUUUUCCUGAGAAUAUUCCAUAAUAUUCUACUUAUCUAACAUUUCUAUAGUCAGUUAUAAUUAUUAUAUCUACUGAUAACUAAUAAAUCUAGACAUGGUACUACAAACCCUUCUGUACAUGUUGAUGAUCUCUUUUAGUUGCCAGCAUUCCAGAAUGGAGAGGUUAAAAAUACAUAAGUGAUCUGCAGGACAUUCCCCAGGUCUUUGGUACUCCACUACUACUGUUCUGGCAUCUAACUGCACUACUUCUCUAGUGUGAGUCAUAAAUACAAAAGAAGCCUUAUAUUUCAGGAGUGGCUGGGUGGCUCAGUCAGUUAAGCCUCUGCCUUUGGCUGGGUCAUGGUCCCUGAGU
rnacentral:lncRNA from 1 species